rnacentral:tRNA from 1 species
GUCCCCGUAGCUCAGUGGAUAGAGCGCUAGCCUCCGGAGCUAGAAGCGGGAGUUCGAGCCUCCCCGGGGACGCCA